UACGUAGGGUGCGAGCGUUAAUCGGAAUUACUGGGCGUAAAGCGUGCGCAGGCGGUUCUGAAAGUCAGCUGUGAAAGCCCCGGGCUUAACCUGGGAAUUGCGGUUGAAACUACAGGGCUAGAAUCUGGCAGAGGGGGGGUGGAAUUCCACGUGUAGCAGUGAAAUGCGUAGAGAUGUGGAGGAACACCGAUGGCGAAGGCAGCCCCCUGGGCUGAGAUUGACGCUCAGGCACGAAAGCGUGGGGAGCAAACAGGG
rnacentral:rRNA from 1 species